GACAGAGGGUGCAAACGUUGUUCGGAAUUACUGGGCGUAAAGCGCGUGUAGGCGGCUAAGCAAGUCGGGCGUGAAAUCCCACCGCUCAACGGUGGAAGUGCACCCGAAACUGCAUAGCUAGAGUCCUGGAGAGGAAGGUGGAAUGCUUGGUGUAGAGGUGAAAUUCGUAGAUAUCAAGCGGAACACCGGUGGCGAAGGCGGCCUUCUGGACAAUGACUGACGCUGAGACGCGAAAGCGUGGGGAGCAAACAGG
rnacentral:rRNA from 1 species